rnacentral:lncRNA from 1 species
UUCGUUUCAAGUGCAAUGGCCAUAUAAUUUGCCAUACUUAAAUUGUACAAUGUUGCAUUGAAGUUUGAGUUACAUGAUGGAGUGCAUUAUCACAAAUUCGUUCUUCCCAAAUUCACAUAUAUGGUAUGAGAUGGAGAUGAAUUCCUAACAAUAUCAUUAGAGGAAACUCUUACCCACAUGUGCCUUGGGUUGGAAUGACUUCAAUCUUGCAUUGAAGUUUUACUUAAAUGAUGGGGUGCACCGUUCUUUCCAAAUUUACAUAUAUGG